UAGGGAAUCUUGCGCAAUGGGCGAAAGCCUGACGCAGCCAUGCCGCGUGAAUGAUGAAGGUCUUAGGAUUGUAAAAUUCUUUCACCGGGGAAGAUAAUGACGGUACCCGGAGAAGAAGCCCCGGCUAACUUCGUGCCAGCAGCCGCGGUAAUACGAAGGGGGCUAGCGUUGCUCGGAAUUACUGGGCGUAAAGGGCGCGUAGGCGGAUAUUUAAGUUGGGGGUGAAAGCCCGGGGCUCAACCUCGGAAUAGCCUUCAAUACUGGAUAUCUUGAGUUCGGGAGAGGUGAGUGGAAUGCCGAGUGCAGAGGUGAAAUUCGUAGAUAUUCGGCGGAACACCAGUGGCGAAGGCGACUCACUGGCCCGAUACUGACGCUGAGGCGCGAAAGCGUGGGGAGCAAACAGGAUUAGAUACCCUGGUAGUCCACGCCGUAAAACGAUGAGUGCUAGUUGUCGGCAUGCAUGCAUGUCGGUGACGCAGCUAACGCAUUAAGCACUCCGCCUGGGGAGUACGGUCGCAAGAUU
rnacentral:rRNA from 1 species